AUUUUUUAUUUUCUUUGUCUAAAGGCUUAAACACAAGCAACUUGGUUAUAUCUGGAGUCUGAAAUCUGACCACCUUUUCCCUGAGAUGUAAAGAGGUCAUCAAUGAUGACUUGCCUGUUGGAGAGAUCCUGGAGCGCUGGCCUGCCCUAAAGAUGGAGUCACAGAUCUGUGCAAAGUUUCACAGCAUUACAAACAUCUACCUGAAAAACCACUUCUAUGCUGAGUUAGACAGACUUGUCUUGAGGGUUUGUUCAGGAAAGCUGCACGCACAGGGAAGGUAUCCGAAGUCCUGGAUCAGCUCUUCAACACUUAUGACCUCCAGGAACAAGUUGACGUCAAUGUCCAACGUGCUGCUGUCCUCCGUGCUCUCCCUACAUGUAUCUGUAUGAGGAUGACUCCAGGUUUCUGAAGCUGUUGGAUGUGGCCCUGUCAGAUGAAUGCAAAUCGACAUAUCAGCCGGGCUCCUCAUGAUCAGUGCCACUUCAACAGAUGAACCAGAUCUUCUGCCCCGAGAAGGUUGCAGUUGUGCUUGAGGGUAACACAGUUGUCGAUUUCCCCACAUUUUCUGACGCAUUUGUCAUACUUUU